ACUCCUACGGGAGGCAGCAGUGGGGAAUAUUGCACAAUGGGGGAAACCCUGAUGCAGCCAUGCCGCGUGUGUGAAGAAGGCCUUCGGGUUGUAAAGCACUUUCAGUAGGGAGGAAGGUAGUGUAGUUAAUAGCUGCAUUAUUUGACGUUAGCGACAGAAGAAGCACCGGCUAACUCCGUGCCAGCAGCCGCGGUAAUACGGAGGGUGCGAGCGUUAAUCGGAAUUACUGGGCGUAAAGCGCAUGCAGGUGGUUUGUUAAGUCAGAUGUGAAAGCCCGGGGCUCAACCUCGGAAUUGCAUUUGAAACUGGCAGACUAGAGUACUGUAGAGGGGGGUAGAUUUCAGGUGUAGCGGUGAAAUGCGUAGAGAUCUGAAGGAAUACCGGUGGCGAAGGCGGCCCCCUGGACAGAUACUGACACUCAGAUGCGAAAGCGUGGGGAGCAAACAGGAUUAGAUACCCUGGUAGGAUAGCG
rnacentral:rRNA from 1 species